rnacentral:rRNA from 1 species
AUUUAAGCAUAUAAGUAAGCGGAGGACAAGAAACUAAACAGGAUCCCCAUAGUAAUGGCGAAUGAACCGGGAUAAACUCAGCAUGGAAAUUGGGGCCUUUGGCUUUGACUUGUAAUCUGGUGAGGCAUUGCCAACAGAGGCGCAUAUGUAAGUCUCUUGGAAAAGAGCAUCAACGAAGGUGAGAGUCCUGAUUGUCAUGUGCAGCCCCCCUGUGCACGGUGUGCCUUCUAAGAGUCACGUUCCUUGGGAUUGGAGCGCAAAUUGGGUGGUAACUUUCAUCUGAAGUUAAACAAUGGUUUGGGACCGAUAGGAAACAAGUACCAUGAGGGAAAGGUGAAAAGGACUUUGGAAAGAGAGUUAAAAGUGCCUGAAAUUGCUGAAGGGGAAGCGAAUGGAACCAGUGGUGCUGGGUGAGAUUGUCACAUGCUGCAAGGAUUGGUUGCUGCCACAACGCAAGUGUGCUGGCAAUUUGUGAACUGCUAGUGUGUGGUGUGUCUUACCUAGUGGGUCAUUGUGGGUUUAUGCAUUAAGAUAAAUCAAAGCAAGCGGGAGCAAGUUUACGAGUUUGUGAAUGUGUGUUGUUAUGCUUGUGCGUAAGCUUUAGUGUUUGUCUGGCUGCAGGGCUGUCCAUCCUCAAGCUUUGCUGUGGUUGCGAUGAGCAUAACCUUCUGCACAGAUC